AAUUUUCUUUCCUUAUCAAUAUAGGAUCUUCAUAAAGUAAUGAAUAAUAUUUACAUUUGGAAGAAAAGAAGAGGGAAGAAGAUUAAAAAACAAAAAAGAAAGAAGAGGAUGUGGCUGCAUUCUACCUAGUGGUUUUACUGAUGGAUAACUUAAAAUAGUGCGAGACGCUGUUGGAAAUCUGUGCCUUGCAGCCUGAUCACCAAUGGCCAGCACCUGCAUCUGUAGAAGAGGGCUGGCUUCAGGCUGCUGGAAUCUACUCUGCCAGUAUGGAACAGUCCAAAUAAAACAGAACCAGAGCUUGAA